CGCUCAGCGGACAUCAUGGGCUGUGUUCCAAUCCUAGUGAGGCGCGCUAUGUAGACAGCGCGCUAGAGCGUCACGUGAUCCUGACGCUGACUCCACACGCUGUCUAUGUAGGCGGCGCCAUAGAGUUAGAGACGCGGCCAGUGUGACACACACACACACACACACACACUUUCUCUGUCUCUCUCUCACACACACACACACACACACACACACUACUGAGUGAAAGUUGGAUAUCCCGCUGGCCGUGUCGAAUCGUAUCGCUUCCCGCGAAAAGCCCGUUUAAAUCCGCGCUCGAGCUAAUUUGUCGUUAUUUGGUCGUCCUCGGACUCCGGGACCGUUGGCGGAUUUGAGGCGGAAGCUCCACACAGACAUGCCCAGACACAAUAUGGAAACGCAGAAGAGUCAAUGGGACCCGGUCCGGAGAUCGCCGUGGAUCGUGAGAGUGGAGCAGAGCCCCGCCUCCUCGGGGGCGGAGUCAGACACCGAGGGCAGCAGCACAGAGAGCGAACAGGUAAAUACACGCUUUCCUCUCAUAACCAGUGCUGUGGAUCAGCUGCACUCAUCUCUCCUUCUGUGCUUAACCAGCAUCGGGUCAAACAGGGAGGCGGAGUCUCGCUGACAUCACCGUCAAUGCUGCAGCAGCGAAUCACGGAGCUCGACCAGCAGAGGGAGGAGCUAAAGAUUGAGCUGCAGCUGGAGGUGGCGCUGCUGCGAGGGGAGCUGCAGGCUGAACAGGAGCGUCUGCGCAGACACACAGAGCAGCUGCAGGAGAAGCACAGGCAGCGCAAGAGCCAGCGCUUGGCCAGCAGACAGAAGGUCUGCCUCUGAUCUGUUCACCCUUAUGAUGCAUGAUUACUGUAGGGAUGCACAAUAUUAUCGAACCGAUAUCAGAAUUGGCUGAUAAUGGCUUUCAAGG
rnacentral:lncRNA from 1 species